GAUGAACGCUGGCGGCGUGCCUAAUACAUGCAAGUCGAGCGAACGGACGAGAAGCUUGCUUCUCUGAUGUUAGCGGCGGACGGGUGAGUAACACGUGGAUAACCUACCUAUAAGACUGGGAUAACUUCGGGAAACCGGAGCUAAUACCGGAUAAUAUUUUGAACCGCAUGGUUCAAAAGUGAAAGACGGUCUUGCUGUCACUUAUAGAUGGAUCCGCGCUGCAUUAGCUAGUUGGUAAGGUAACGGCUUACCAAGGCAACGAUGCAUAGCCGACCUGAGAGGGUGAUCGGCCACACUGGAACUGAGACACGGUCCAGACUCCUACGGGAGGCAGCAGUAGGGAAUCUUCCGCAAUGGGCGAAAGCCUGACGGAGCAACGCCGCGUGAGUGAUGAAGGUCUUCGGAUCGUAAAACUCUGUUAUUAGGGAAGAACAUAUGUGUAAGUAACUGUGCACAUCUUGACGGUAGCUAAUCAGAAAGCCACGGCUAACUACGUG
rnacentral:rRNA from 1 species